rnacentral:misc_RNA from 1 species
CAACCCUCAAGCACAGCUUGGUGUUGGGACUCGCGUUAAUUCGCGUUCCUCAAAUUGAUUGGCGGUCACGUCGAGCUUCCAUAGCGUAGUAGUAAACCCCUCGUUGCUGGUAAUCGUCGCGGCCACGCCGUUAAACCCCAACUUCUGAA